AGAGUUUGAUCAUGGCUCAGGAUGAACGCUAGCUACAGGCUUAACACAUGCAAGUCGAGGGGAAACGACAUCGAAAGCUUGCUUUUGAUGGGCGUCGACCGGCGCACGGGUGAGUAACGCGUAUCCAACCUGCCCACCACUUUGGGGAGUAACCUUGCGAAAGUAAGACUAAUACCCAAUCGAUAUCUCUAGAAGACAUCUGUAAAGAGAUUAAAAGAUUUAUCGGUGAUGGAUGGGGAUGCGUCUGAUUAGCUUGUUGGCGGGGUAACGGCCCACCAAGGCAACGAUCAGUAGGGGGUUCUGAGAGGAACGGUCCCCCACAUUGGAACUGAGACACGGUCCAAACUCCUACGGGAGGCAGCA
rnacentral:rRNA from 1 species